GACGAACGCUGGCGGCGUGCUUAACACAUGCAAGUCGAGCGGUAAGGCCUUUCGGGGUACACGAGCGGCGAACGGGUGAGUAACACGUGGGUGAUCUGCCCUGCACUUCGGGAUAAGCCUGGGAAACUGGGUCUAAUCCCGGAUAUGACCUCCUAUCGCAUGGUGGGUGGUGGAAAGAUUUAUCGGUGCAGGAUGGGCCCGCGGCCUAUCAGCUUGUUGGUGGGGUAAUGGCCUACCAAGGCGACGACGGGUAGCCGACCUGAGAGGGUGACCGGCCACACUGGGACUGAGACACGGCCCAGACUCCUACGGGAGGCAGCAGUGGGGAAUAUUGCACAAUGGGCGAAAGCCUGAUGCAGCGACGCCGCGUGAGGGAUGACGGCCUUCGGGUUGUAAACCUCUUUCAGCAGGGACGAAGCGCAAGUGACGGUACCUGCAGAAGAAGCACCGGCUAACUACGUG
rnacentral:rRNA from 1 species